rnacentral:rRNA from 1 species
CGGGAUUUUCAUCCUGAGUAACGUAGCUAACGCGUGAAGUCAGCCGCCUGGGGAGUACGGUCGCAAGAUUAAAACUCAAAGGAAUUGACGGGGACCCGCACAAGCGGUGGAUGAUGUGGAUUAAUUCGAUGCAACGCGAAAAACCUUACCUACCCUUGACAUGUCACUAACGAAGUAGAGAUACAUUAGGUGCCCGUAAGGGAAAGUGAACACAGGUGCUGCAUGGCUGUCGUCAGCUCGUGUCGUGAGAUGUUGGGUUAAGUCCCGCAACGAGCGCAACCCUUGUCUUUAGUUGCUACGCAAGAGCACUCUAAAGAGACUGCCGGUGACAAACCGGAGGAAGGUGGGGAUGACGUCAAGUCCUCAUGGCCCUUAUGGGUAGGGCUUCACACGUCAUACAAUGGUGCAUACAGAGGGUUGCCAACCCGCGAGGGGGAGCUAAUCUCAGAAAAUGCAUCGUAGUCCGGAUCGUAGUCUGCAACUCGACUACGUGAAGCUGGAAUCGCUAGUAAUCGCGGAUCAGAAUGUCGCGGUGAAUACGUUCCCGGGUCUUGUACACACCGCCCGUCAUACCAUGGGAGUGGGUUUUGCCAGAAGCCGUUAGCCUAACCGCAAGGAGGGCGACUGCCACGGCAGGGUUCAUGACUGGGGUAAAGUCGUAACAAGGUAGCCGUAUCGGAAGGUGC